GGAAAAUUAUCGAUUCUCUGUUAUCGAUAGGAUACGAUAAAACAUAAACAUACGAGAUAACACCUAGGAGGUACUUAGUGAGAGUACCUAUAUGUUAGAGUACUAAUUGUAUUAUUUUAGUUCAGAAGCAGACACUGUAACGAACAGUUGACUUUAUUGUAUAAAUUGAAUUUCUUCUGAAAUAUGCCACCGCCCCACGGCCCUCCACACCACGGACCCCCACAUCAUGGGCCUCCACAUCACGGACCGCCCCAUCAUGGACCGCCCCAUCACGGACCACCCCAUCACGGACCACCUCACCACGGUCCACCCCACCACGGUCCGCCUCAUCACGGACCACACCAUGGUCCACCCCACCACGGUCCGCCUCAUCACGGACCACCCCAUUGGAGGUGAAGAGGGCAAAACAAUCACAAUUGAGAAUCAUACUCUAAUUAAAUAAAACUUAGAUACCUAUCAUGGAAAUUUUCUUUCUAAUUACAAAAGUUAAUCGCUGACUUCACGGUAAAUUAAGAUCCCAGGAAUAAGGAUAAAAAUGUUAAUGUUGUUUUUAAAUUAAACUUGGAACAGUUGAUGUAGUUAAUUUAAUUAAAUACCUAUAAAAUUCAACUGGCUGUUAAUUAUUAAGACAUAUCGAAUAAAAUAAUAUAUUGCAAAAA